CCUACGGGCGGCAGCAGUGAGGAAUAUUGGUCAAUGGCCGGAAGGCUGAACCAGCCAUGCCGCGUGAAGGUCAGUGCCCUAUGGGCGUUAAACUUCUUUCGUGCGGGAGCAAUAAUGCUCACGUGUGGCCAGACGCGCGUACCGUACGAAUAAGCAUCGGCUAACUCCGUGCCAGCAGCCGCGGUAAUACGGGGUAUGCAAGCGUUAUCCGGAUUUAUUGGGGUUAAAGGGUGCGUAGGAUGUGAGGUAAGUCAGCGGGGAAAUGCCCCCGCGCAACGGGGUGAAGUGCCAUUGAUACUGCGUGGCGGGAGUGCGGAUGGCGUGGGAGGAAUGUGUGGUGUAGCGGUGAAAUGCAUAGAUAUCA
rnacentral:rRNA from 1 species